rnacentral:rRNA from 1 species
AGAGUUUGAUCCUGGGGCAGGACGAACGCUGGCGGCGUGCUUAACACAUGCAAGUCGAACGAUGAAGCCUUUCGGGGUGGAUUAGUGGCGAACGGGUGAGUAACACGUGGGCAACCUGCCCUCCACUCUGGGAUAACUCCGGGAAACCGGGGCUAAUACUGGAUAUGACCCUCCCUCGCAUGGGGGUGGGUGGAAAGUUUUUCGGUGGAGGAUGGGCCCGCGGCCUAUCAGCUUGUUGGUGGGGUGAUGGCCUACCAAGGCGGUGACGGGUAGCCGGCCUGAGAGGGCGACCGGCCACACUGGGACUGAGACACGGCCCAGACUCCUGCGGGAGGCAGCAGUGGGGAAUAUUGCACAAUGGGCGAAAGCCUGAUGCAGCGACGCCGCGUGGAGGAUGACGGCCUUCGGGUUGUAAA